GAUGAACGCUAGCGGCAGGCUUAACACAUGCAAGUCGAGGGGUAUAGGUUUUCGGACCUAGAGACCGGCGCACGGGUGCGUAACGCGUAUGCAAUCUACCUUUCACAGAGGGAUAGCCCAGAGAAAUUUGGAUUAAUACCUCAUAGUAUAGCAGUUUCGCAUGAAACCACUAUUAAAGUAUCAACGGUGAAAGAUGAGCAUGCGUCCCAUUAGCUAGAUGGUAAGGUAACGGCUUACCAUGGCUACGAUGGGUAGGGGUCCUGAGAGGGAGAUCCCCCACACUGGUACUGAGACACGGACCAGACUCCUACGGGAGGCAGCAGUGAGGAAUAUUGGUCAAUGGACGCAAGUCUGAACCAGCCAUGCCGCGUGCAGGAUGACGGUCCUAUGGAUUGUAAACUGCUUUUGUACGAGAAGAAACAACACUACGUGUAAUGUCCUGACGGUAUCGUAAGAAUAAGGAUCGGCUAACUCCGUGCCAGCAGCCGCAGUAAGAC
rnacentral:rRNA from 1 species